rnacentral:lncRNA from 1 species
AAACUUAAUAGAAGCAAAUCGAUCUAGAGAUGAAAUGUAGAAGUAUGAUAUUGUUCAUCCAGCAUCAUGUUCUCUGAAUAAUUAUUUUGGUAAUUAUGAUCUUAUUUUGCUUCUCAUUAAUAUUGUGUGUGGAAGGCUCGAAGCCAAUGCCGCAUCAACAUUCCUUCCCCCUCAAUCGCUUCUUGAUGGCUCAAGCGUACACUGGUCCAAGCCGAAGAGGAAGGGGUCACAAACUAAUUUCAUAAUUACCACUUCAAAAUAUAAUAUAAAAAUAUAUGAUAAAGAGAUAAUCUAUCUAUUUCAUUAUUCCAUUUUAUUAUUUUCUCAAGAGCUUUGUAUGUACACUUGUUCAUUAGUUAGCUCACUAUGCUGAUCAUGAACUAUAUAUACUGUCACGACGCAAGACUAUCAAGCUCAAGAAGAUCAAAGAUUUAGGCUAAAAUUAAGUGACUUUAGGACUAAUAUAGUUUAUCCAAGGGAUCUCCAAUGUCUUAACCCACUUGAGCUUAAAUCUAAUCUUUUUAUACUCAUCUUGGGUCAUAUUUAUAUUGCUUCACAUUUGUUAUAUAUCCAUAGUAACCAUUUGUUAAAUCAUGAUUUGAAAAUACUAGAGAAUUAU